AUUGAACGCUGGCGGCAUGCUUUACACAUGCAAGUCGAACGGUAACAGGUUAAGCUGACGAGUGGCGAACGGGUGAGUAAUGCAUCGGAACGUGCCCGAUCGUGGGGGAUAACGCAGCGAAAGCUGCGCUAAUACCGCAUACGAUCUGAGGAUGAAAGCGGGGGACCGUAAGGCCUCGCGCGAUCGGAGCGGCCGAUGUCAGAUUAGGUAGUUGGUGGGGUAAAGGCUCACCAAGCCAACGAUCUGUAGCUGGUCUGAGAGGACGACCAGCCACACUGGGACUGAGACACGGCCCAGACUCCUACGGGAGGCAGCAGUGGGGAAUUUUGGACGAUGGGCGAAAGCCUGAUCCAGCAAUGCCGCGUGCAGGAAGAAGGCCUUCGGGUUGUAAACUGCUUUUGUACGGAGCGAAAAGGCUCUCUCUAAUACAGGGGGCUCAUGACGGUACCGUAAGAAUAAGCACCGGCUAACUACGUGCCAGCCGCCGCAGUAAUAC
rnacentral:rRNA from 1 species